GAUGAAGAACGUAGUAAAAUGCGAUAAGUAAUGUGAAUUGCAGAAUUCAGUGAAUCAUCGAAUCUUUGAACGCACAUUGCGCCCGCCAGUAUUCUGGCGGGCAUGCCUGUUCGAGCGUCAUUUCAACCCUCAAGCACAGCUUGGUGUUGGGACUCGCGUUAAUUCGCGUUCCUCAAAUUGAUUGGCGGUCACGUCGAGCUUCCAUAGCGUAGUAGUAAAACCCUCGUUACUGGUAAUCGUCGCGGCCACGCCGUUAAACCCCAACUUCUGAAUGUUGACCUCGGAUCAGGUACGAAUACCCGCUGAACUUAAGCAUAUCAAUAAGCGGAGGA
rnacentral:misc_RNA from 1 species